UCCUCUCCUCUCCUCACUCUCUACUUCGCUCGCACUUCGUAAUACGCACGUGCGCCUUUGACCCCCUCGCGACUCCACCAAGAAGCUUCGAUACCCCUUCCCCUUCCCCUUCCCCAUGGGUCACUCGCUUGCCCUAAUCGCUCUCUCUCCUCAAUCAGGUCAGCUCCUCACUGCUAAUUGAUCGAAUAAUUCACCGGAGCUUCGACCAAUUAGGCGCCGUGUUUCGUCGAUUCAGAAUGAGAUGGUGCAGUUUGCUUCUGCUGUAACUGUGGACUUUCCUCGUUGAAGUUUUCCUUGGGAUAGAAAGACAUACAUUAGGGUUUUGGAUCGGGAAGUGGGUGCACGGAUUCUCCAAUGUGAUGGUGUCUUUGAGAGUUUGUUCGGAAUUUUAGGUCUGAUGGUAGCGAGAAAUUCAAAAAUGAAAAUGCAGGUGGCUCAGCAUCCCUCCCGAGUAGACACUUUACAAUUGAAACUCCAAAUCCAGAGGAAGCUUGGGAAAGAGAAAGCAGAGAAAUACUUUCAUCUUUUGAAUCAAUACUUGAGUUUUAAGAUUAGCAAGUCAGAGUUUGACAGGCACUGCAUUCUGGCAAUUGGGAGACAGAACAUCUGUCUCCAUAAUCAGCUUAUCCAAUCAAUUAUAAAAAAUGCAUGUACUGGUAAGACUCCCCCACCUAAAGGGAGCAAAACAGACAGUUUGUUGAAAGUGCAAAAUGGGCAUCAAAGAAGUAGUCUUCAGUCAAUCUGUAGAGAUGUGUUUCCUCAGUCUCCACGGAAGGGAAGGACGCCUAAUCUUCGGGAUAGAAAGUUUAGGGAUCGUCCAAGUCCUCUUGGGCCACAUGGGAAGACCCACAGUAUUGAAUGUGAGGAUUCUGUUCCUAAAACUCAGGAACAGCAAAGUGUGGAGCUGCUCUCUUUAGGUAGCAGGCCACCUCCUGAAGUGAACUCUGUUGAAGAAGGCGAAGAGGUUGAACAAGCUGCUGGAAGCCCUAGUAUUUACAGUAGAAGCCCUGUCACAGCUCCACUCGGUAUCUCCAUAAACGGGAAAGAAACGAGGAAAGUGCUGCGUAGUGGAUCAGCAACUGCCUUUUAUAUUGACUCCUGUCUCAACAGCAGUGGGCUGCCGAAUAACAGUUCUCUGAAGGCUAGAUUGGAGCAGAAGUUCGAGACGGAGGGCUUGAAAAUUUCAAUGGAUUGUGUUAACCUGUUGAAUAACAGUCUGGAUGUUUACCUAAAGGGAUUGAUAAAGCCAUGUUUGGAAUUAGCUGGUUCAAUUUCUGUGAAUAAGCACUCAAGUGAGGUAUGCAAUCAGGUGAUGCUCGGUUUAAAUAGGAUGCAUCCUGUGAGAUAUGUACAAAAAGCAAACAGACCCAUUUUUGCAUCCUUGUUGGAUUUCCGGGUUGCAAUGGAAUCACAUCCCAAGAGGCUAGGAGAAGAUUGGCAAGUGCAACUUGAGAAGAUUUGCUUGCAUGCAUCAGAUCAAGAAUGACUUCAAAUUGAAUGGCACAUGAUUUUGGUGGGACAAUAUUUUCAACUUCAUCCCAGAGAUAAUGUGUUAUUGUGAUUCUUGAGUUGAGACCAUUCUAACAAUGAUGUUGACCUCACAUUUUUUAUGAACAAUGCUGAAGAGUUUACGUGGUUAAAGCUAUGGAAAUUUUGGAUCAAAGCAAUUAGGAUGUGUAUAAUCUCAGUGCUGAUUGUUUCUGAAAUGGGACAACAUACAUGGGAAGGAUGUGCAUAGAGGCAGGAAGUCAGUGAAGUCCAUAGAUGUUACUUCCGAGUGGCUUGCCCAUAAAUGUUAUCUAAAAGGUGUCAGCCUGCUAUAUGUAAUUGUUCUCUACAGCAAGAAGCUAUAAUUUGAUGGAAACUGCUUAUUAAAGAAGUUAUUUUGGUUUAGUGGUGGAUUUUUCUUUUUGUUGAAACAUCACAUAUGUGCACAUAUUUUUUUAAGGACUGAUUUUUCUUUCUUGGGUCCUGUCUACUCACAGGAAUAUACACAGGCAGUAGGAUCUAAGCUUCAGCAAGAGUCACAUCGAUACCUAUGCCUGUUGUGCUUCACAAAGAAUUUGUUGGUUUCACUUCAAUUUUAACUUCCAUCUUUGAAAGUUGUGUUUUCAUGUUGUAUAGGCUGGUAUCACAAUAUCAACUAUGUGAUGAAACAUAACUAUAUCAAUUAUUUUUGUUCAACACCAUCUCACGAAACUUUUCUAUAUGAAGAUGGUGCUGAAACUACAUUUCCUCGGCAGAGGGUUGUGUUAGGAAGGGCAUCAGGUGUAUUAUUUUGCCACAUUGUUCUUUUGCAUAAAUUUGUAUUAUGAAUGUGACUUUUAGAAGUUAAUUG